rnacentral:tRNA from 1 species
GCCUGGCUGGCUCAGUUGGUAGAGCAUGUGACCCUUGAUCUCAGGGUUGUGAGUUCAAGCCCCCACCUUGGGCA